GGGCCGUUAGCUCAGUUGGUAGAGCAGCUGACUCUUAAUCAGCGGGCCGCUGGUUCGAGCCCAGCACGGCCCA
rnacentral:tRNA from 1 species